rnacentral:lncRNA from 1 species
GUUCGUGUUCGUAUUCGGCUCAUUUAACAUAAACGAGCCGUUCGCGAACACGUUCAAAUAGUUCGAAUCCAGAUUAUUCUAGACCUUAAAUAUGUAACACAAAUCAUUAAUCAUCCUAAAAAAUAAUUAAAAUACUAAAUAACUAAAUUUCAUUAUUCAUUAACUACAUAAUCAACAUUAACAUAAAAAUAACCAAUAAAACAAAGUAAUUUGUCCACCAAGCUUUAGAAAUUAAAAUGAGUACAAUGAGCUACAUCCUUUCAAUCUGGAAGUAUAACUUCUUCAUAUGUCUUGAAGUCAUCAACAAUUGAUGAUUCCUACCAAAGGAAAAAAUGAAUUAGAAUUAAGUAAGAAUGGUGAAUUUAUAAAAAUUGUAGAAAUAAAGAAACAUAACAUAUAUGAUAUAUUACCUUUAAUUGCAUUUGAAGGCUUAAAUAUUGAACAGAUUUUGUAGAGAGAGAAAGUAGAUUUUGUAGACAAAUCUUUGAAGGGUUACUGAGAAAGAAAUUAUGGAGUGGCCUUCUUAUUUAGAUGAAUAUCAAAAGCUUGUGAUUCGUAUAAAUACUCCUAGGUAUGCUACUAACUUUACUCCCCUGUUUCUUCUUCACUUGUUUAUUGGUUGCUGGGUCUACUUUUCCAGAUUUUGUUUCGAUUCUUCAUCCGAGAACAAGAAGUUAGUAUGAAGAUUUUUCGAUUCUUCACUUGUUAUUGGUUGUUGGUUGUUGGGCCAGGGUCAGAUAACAAGAAGUCAGGAUGAAGAUUUUGUUGAAUUUUUUGUUGGUUCAUUCCUCUGUUUUCUUUGUUUUCUGGGUUGCCUUGCAGUAAACAAUUUUUUGGGGGAGAGAAACAAAAAAAAGAAAAUGGAAACUACUGCAAAUAUUUUCCUUUCCAUUUUUCCCAAUAUUCACUCCAAACUUCUUGUGAUUUCCAACCUCAAAAUAUUCAGAAGCUAGCUGAUUAUAAGCUUAAAGUAACAAGAAGUCAGAUGCCUUCAAGCUUGCAAUCAAAUUCAAUCUAAUGAAUUCAAAAAAUUCUAGAUUGAGAAACACAAAUUCAUAGAUCUGUCAAAAAUCAUACCGAAUCAAAGGAAGGAGGCACGUGAUCUCCGAAGUCAGCCAGCCACCAAAGAAGUUGAUUGGGGCAACUUGAACUCCAGUCUCUCUUAGCAGCUUAUGUGAUCGGAGAUAGCUUAUCAGCAGCAGCCAACGGGAAAUGAACGGUUUCAAUUUGGACUUUGGACGAUAGGAACUAGAAAGCCUAGAACAGCAGCGGCCAACGGGGAAUGAAAACAAAAGUGAGGUUGGAAAGAGGAAAGUCUUAGAAUUUCUUAUGAGUAACCCUAAAUUUGUCAAAUGAUAAUUAUAUCCAUGUUCGCGAACGUUCGUAAAAAUUCGCGAACAUGUUUGUGUUCGCUCGAUUAUUAAAUAAAUAAAAAAUUUCGUUCGAACUCGGUUCGUUUAAGGUUUCGAACGAGCCUUUAACGAACACAAACGAAUUGAAAUGAAUUGAGCUAACGAACAGUUCGGUUCGUUUAACAGCUCUAAGCUUAUCCAAUAAGCUAUGAAGGCAUUAAAUUUAUCCUCUUACCCCAUAGUAGUUAUCUCGUUCGAGAGUAUGAAUCUCUUAGAUUACUAGAGGUAGAGUCCUCAUCAAAUUCAAGCUCUGCCCUUAUCACGCGAGCCCCAAAUUGGGAUGUUUGUUGCUCCACUUAUGUUUGGGAAUCGCCCGAGCAAGACAUCUCAGCACUGACACGUG